GCCUAGAACUGAGCCUGGGAUGCACACAGUAGGCCCUCAACAAACAAUUGAUGAAAGAAGGAAUGAAUGUCAGUGCUGGUCAGGAUGAUUUUUCUCUAUUUUCCAGAACAGGACUGGCUCAGCUGAAGACACUGUGCCCUUCGUAUAUUUUGUCAACACCAUGGAGAACCAUUCCAAUGGCUCAGGCUUGCCCAGGGAGCCUGCUCAUCCCCAAGGGCCUUGGAGGAGCCGGUUCCAGAGAGCCCCUGAUGUGUUUCACCAAGUUCUUAGGGGAGGGCACCAGACACUCGAGAACUGAGACCACAGGACCCACAGACAUCGACCCACGAAUGGUGAUCAGGCCCCCUCUGCUGCCACAUGCCCCUAUGCUCCCAUUUUCUCUGCCACUGGGCUUAAAAAUAAAUGUGGCAUGC
rnacentral:lncRNA from 1 species